rnacentral:rRNA from 1 species
CUAAAUACUAAUAGUUAACCGAUAGUGAAUUAGUACCGUGAGGGAAAGAUGAAAUAGAACCUUUAAAUAGGAGUGAAAUAGAACCUGAAAUUAUAUACGUAAAAGCAAUAGAAGCUGAAAAGUAACUAUAUACCUUUUGUAUAAUGGGUCAGCGACUUAUUUUUUUUAGCAAGCUUAACUUAAGGUAGGCGAAGAGAAAUCAAGUCUGAAAGGGCGAAAGUUAAAAACAAUAGACCCGAAACCGAGCGAUCUAUCUAUAAACAGGUUGAAGGUAAAGUAAAAAUUACUGGAGGACCGAACCGGUAUCUGUUGCAAAAGAUUCGGAUGAUUUGUGGAUAGGGGUGAAAGGCUAAUCAAGCUCGGAGAUAGCUGGUUCUCCUCGAAAGCUAUUUAGGUAGCGCCUUAUAAAUAAAAAUUAAUGGUAAAGCACUGUUUUGAUUAAGAUUAUUCCGAAUCAUAACAAACUAAGAAUAUUAAUUUUUUAAUUAUAGGAGACACACUAUGGGUGAUAACGUCCAUAGUGGAAAGGGAAACAACCCAGAUCAUAAAUUAAGGUCCCUAAAUCUUAUUUAAGUGGAAAAUGAAUUUAAUAAUCUUUGACAAUCAAAAGGUGGGCUUAGAAGCAGCCAUCCUUUAAAGAAAGCGUAAUAGCUCAUUGAUAUAGAUGAUUAAUUUAAAAAAUUUAACGGGGCUAAAAUAAGUACCGAAAUUAUGAACAUUAUUUUUGUGGUAGAGGAGCGUUGUGUAAAUUUAAGAAGAUUUAUUUUAAAAUAAAUUGGAAAUAUCACAAGUGCGAAUGCUGACAUAAGUAACAAUAAGAAAUGUGAAAAUCAUUUCCGCCGAAAAAUUAAGGUUUUCUAUUCAACGAUGAUCGAAAUAGAGUUAGUCGUAACCUAAGAUGAGGUUGAAAAACGUAAUCGAUGGAAAAAAGAUUAAUAUUUCUUUACCAUUAAUAAUUAUUAAGGAAUGUUUUAAUUUGUUUUUUGAUCCUAAA